UACAGAGGGUGCAAGCGUUAAUCGGAAUUACUGGGCGUAAAGCGCAUGUAGGUGGGAAGAUAAGUUUGAUGUGAAAGCCCUGGGCUUAACCUGGGAAAGGCGUUGAAGACUAUCGUUCUAGAGUAUGACAGAGGGCCGUGGAAUUUCCGGUGUAGCAGUGAAAUGCGUAGAGAUCGGAAAGAACACCAGUGGCGAAGGCGGCGGCCUGGGUCGAGACUGACACUGAGAUGCGAAAGCGUGGGGAGCAAACAGG
rnacentral:rRNA from 1 species